CCAUUUUGAGAUGUUAAAUUUGGAGAAAGUCUCUCCAAGAAAACCGACCACUCUGACACCACCAUGCUCAAGAGACCCAUGUAGAAAAUUAAGGCUCAUAAUGCUACUACAAAGACACAUGCACAUGUAUGUUUAUUGCUGCACUGUUCACAAUAGCGAAGACUUGGAACCAACCCAAAUGUCCAUCAAUGACUGGAUUAAGAAAAUGUGGCACAUAAACACCAUGGAAGAUUAUGCAGCCAUAAAAAAAGUUGAGUUCAUAUCCUUUGGAGCGACAUGGAUGAAGCUGGAAACCAUCAUUCUGAGCAAACUAUCACAAGGACAGAAAACCAAACACCGCAUGUUCUCACUCAUAGGUGGGAACUGAACAAUGAGAACACAGGGACACAGGAAGGGGAACAUCACACACUGGGGCCUGUCGUGGGGUGGGGGAAUGGGGGAGGGAUAGCAUUAGGAGGAAUACCUAAUGUAAAUGACGAGUUAAUGGGUGCAGCAAACCAACAUGGCACAUGUAUACAUAUGUAACAAACCUGCAUGUUGUGCACAUGUACCCUAGAACUUAAAGUAUAAUAAAAAAAAAAAAGAAAAUUAAGGCUAUUUGUAAUAGGUCAAAAAUAAUUAAGAAAGUACCAAUCUUUAGGAAAGGUAAAUAUUGAUGUCACAGUUUGCCCAUAGGAACAUAUCACAAUCUCUGGUGACUUGGAGUGUGAGGAUAUUGGUUCACAAGGUUAAAUAAGAAUGGAAAAAAGAGGGAGAAAUUUCAAAACACAUCUAACCAGAUUUCCAGACAUGUUAAGGAGAAAUUGGAGGGAGGAAGAAUUUAAAACAAUGCCGGGUAAGAAUUAUCCUGACAAUGAAAUCUAGCCAUUCUUGGGUUUAGGAAGUCAUUAAAUACUGAGUUGAAAAGAAAUGAAGGCUCUAUACAAGUACAAAUCACUGAGCUGCAGAACAGUAAUGAAGGAAAAAAAAAUCUUAAAAGCAGCCAGAGGAAAAAAAUACAGAUAAUUUAAAAAUUAAUGGCAAGCAGAACAAAGAGCUGACUUUUUAACAGCAAUAGUGAAAGGAAGCAGUUGACUUUAUCUUCAAGGUAUGGUGAAGAAACAACAGACCAUCAGAAUGCUAUGCCCAGUGUUAAGAAUUAAAUUGUCUCCCAAAAAGUACUUAUAGGUGGGCAUGGCUUGACAGUGUGGACAAUCAAUUAGGAAAGGGUAGGUUUAUGUAAAAUAGGUGAGGGGUGGAGGUCAAUCAGAGGAAAACGCGCCAAAUGGGAAGACAAGUUCUCAAUUGUUGCUUGGCUUUCAGGCUUUAAACUGUCUUUGGCUUGGAGGGGUUUCCCCGGGAGCCCACCCCUCUCUACCUAGGCAUUUAGCUGCCUUCUGCCACUCUCAGUACCACAAACUGAGUUGCCUAAAACAACAAAAUUUAUUUCUUUCACAAUUUUGAUAUCUAAAAGUUUGAAAUCAAGGUGUCAGCAGGACCACGCUCCUUCUAAAACCUGCAGUAGAGAAUCCUUUCCUGCUUCUUUUGAGUUUCUGGUGUUUUAUUGGCGAUUCUUUGCAUACCUUGCCGUGUAGCUACCACACUUCAACCUCUACCUCCAUUGUCACAUGAUAUUAUCUCUUGUGUCUCUUUGUCUCUUUUCCUCUUUUUACAAAGGCACCAGUCAUAUUGGAUUAAUGGCUCAUCCUACUUCACUAUGACUUUAUCUUAACUUAAAUAGUUACAUCUGUAAGGACCCAAUUUCCAAAUAAAGUCACAAUCUGAGAUACUGUGUGUUAGGACUUCAACAUAUGCCCGGCAUUUGGUUUUUUAAACAUAAUCUUUUAUUAUUACUGAAAUCAUAAAUAUUUAUUGUAUAAAUUAAUGACAUUUACACUGGCAAAAAGAAAAUAAGAUAAAAUGUCACAUUGUCACUAUCCAUAAAUUAUUGUUGUUAAUAUUUUAGAUUAUAUUUCUGUACCAUUUAUAUGCAAACUACACAGAUACAAAACAAACAUGUGCCAUUAUUUUUACUGACUUUUAAAAAUAAAUGUAUUAGUUAACCUUUUAAUAAACUAUUUUGUAAUAGUUGAUUUACAAAAAAAGCUGAAAUGAUAUCUUUUUAUAAUCUUGAUUUUUCAAUAAUUGAUCUCCAUUAUUUCAUUUCAGAAACUUACCAAUACAUAGAUGAUAUUAACGUUUUCUGAAAUCUCUAUACAAACAGAAUAUAUGUCAUACCUCUGAUUGUUGUUCUCUUAAAUCACAUUUAAUCUAAUAAAACCCAGUUUUUCAUGAGGUUUGGCUAAUUUUCUCACAGAAUGUUCCAACUUCUGGAUUUCUCUGCUUGCUUGUUUUGCUUUCUUUUGGUAGGUUAUGAUUGAUUCACUUUUUAUUGACAUUUCAUAGUAAGUCAUAAAUAAAAUG
rnacentral:lncRNA from 1 species